AAAAGGAAGAAUCCUGGACGCUGCGCAAGGGAGACCUUCUGGGACUCCCUAAGGGUGAAGCGUGGGAGCGUGAACGCCUGGAAGUUUGAGCAGCACCCUUAGGCCACACCUCCCGGAUCACCUACUAAGGAUCUGCAAGGAGAGAAGGGCAGAGAGGGGAAGAGGCCAUGUGAUCACAGAGGCAGUGUGACCACUGGAGUGAUGCACCGACAAGCCAAGGAAGGCCUGGAGUCCCCAGAAGCUGGAAGGGGCAAGAAACAGUUGGUCUCCUAGCGGCUUUGGACAGAGCCCAGCCCUAUCCCCACUGCCAUGAGACAAUAAAACUUGUGCUGUUUUAAGCCACCCAGUUUGGAUGAUUUGUUUCGGCAACCACAGGAAAACUAACACAAUCCUGGAGUCCACGGGUUCACAGAUAGGCACGUGACCCAGCUACCUCAGCGAGACUCCAUUUGGCACUCACCGCACCCACUGGGAAAGGGAAGCUCUGUUUUCUACUAAGGCAGCCCAUCUUGGGAGAAUAUAACCCUAGAGCCGAGGGUCACAGUGUGGAGACAUUAGCCUGAUAUUCUGAGAAAGACAGAUAGACACCUAGUGUUGAUGUCAUUUGGUCUUCUGGAUCCAGCUGUAUCUGAAACCAGGGCUAUCCUGGAUUUUCGGUUAUAUCAGCCAAUUAAUUUCCCAUUUGACUUAAGCCAGUUAGCGCUGGGUUUCUGUCACAAGCAGGGCCAAAGAAUUCUGACUUAAAGGCCUUUUGUUACUGGUGUAGGGUUCUGAGUUACAUGUGAGCUUCAACAAGUUAGCAUAAGUAUGUUCCAAAUAUUGCAUGGGUCAGAUACUAAAAAAAAAAAACCCAAAAAAACAUUAUUUGUUACUUAUCUGAAAUUCAAAGUUACCUGGGCAAUCUGGAUGUUUAGUUUUUGGCUUUUGCUAAGGCAGUCCUGUGUCAGAAGUUUUUUUAUUGAUCAUCGGAAACUUUUGGAAAGCCAGGUUGUUAUAGCACAAAAGGUAAGAAUAAUCUUUCUAAAGUAGAUGCUUCUUCUAAUUUUAGACAUUCAUAUAACUAUCUUUGGGGCACCUGGGUGGCUCAGUCAGUUCAGCAUCUAACUUCAGCUCAGGUCAUGAUCUCAUGGUUUGUGAGUUGGAGCCUCAUUGGGCUCUGCAUUGGCAGUUUGAUAUUCUCAGGAAAAUCGAGGGUUCUCUCUCCCUUUCUCUCUGCCCCUCCCCUAUGCGCGCGCUCUGGCUCUCUCUCUCUCUCUCUCAAAAUAAAUAAACUUAAAAACACACACACAGAUAACUGUCUUCGGUGUCCUGUAUUAACCGGGGUUGUAAAACAGUGUAAUUAUACACUCAUGGUGUUUUGAACCUUAAUGUGUUUUGAAGUUGAGAAAGAAAGACUCCGUUUUUAAAGGUCUCCUGCCACUGACCAAAGCAGUCAAAAGGUGCCUUUGUAUGUUGUGAAACCUACAGUUUCCUUUAAAACUGAUGCCCUUACAGAGCUGUGUUCACAGUUGCUUCUGGCUGUGUGACAUACGUGUUACGGAAUGGUCCAGAAGCAAAGGAUUAUGAAGGACCCAGCUGGAGGCGGGGGAGUGGGCGGUGCAAUGCCUAUCAGCUUCCUUGAGCAGAGAAGAAAAAGGCCAAGCUGAGGGUAUCCUGAAAUCUGGGGACCAACCUGCAGACGCGAUGUUUUGCAUAUACACAGUGAUGCCAUAGCCCAGGAUAAGUCCUGUGUUUUGUGCCAAAAUGAAGUUGUUCUAGAAAAGGUGGAUCUCCUGCGUUACGCCUCUUUUGUUCUCAAAAUACGUUCCCUCAGCCUCUUCAGAAAAGACUUCUGAAGCGGGUUGGUUCUUUGACCUUGAGACUUAGGAAUACAGAAUGGCAGAUUCACAGUUUCACUUUGCAGCAAUAUUAAGAAUACUUGAAAAUGUACAAACUUAAGUUCCCUGGCUCAUGGCUUUCCUAUUAGAGCUGACUCUCCAGUGAUGUUUGAAAAAAAAAAAAAAAAAAGAGGCUAUUUCUUGAAAGUACAGUUUGAAAGGUCUAUUGUAUUUCAGUGGUUUCCAUGCUUUGUUUUGAUGUGUAUUCUUUUUUCAUACAAGUAUGUACUUAAAGUGCUGUGGGAUAGAGCACGCGUACUUGGCUCCCUCUCCUAGUUUGAUUUAUGUGCCCACUGACUUACUGUCUUACCCAGUCUGGCAAGUUCCCCGCACCUAGCAAGAUCUUCCAACAACCUGACUGAAGAACCACUGUGUCCACUCAGAGUAACCCAGAGGUCACACCCUUAUGGUUACUGGAUGGGUCGUUCCACUGUGUCUACCCACAGUGAGGUUACACCCUUAUGGUUACUGGAUGGGUCAUGCCAGGUAUUAGUCAUGGGAAAAGAUUUUUAAACUAAACAUAUUUGACAUAUAACAUCGUGUAGUUUUAAGGUGUACAACAUGUGAGUUCGAUUACACUUAUAUGAUGUAAUAUGAUUGCCAUUGUGGCGAUAAUCAGCACCUCUGUCAGGCCACAUAAAUUAUCUUUUCUUUUUUUAGUGGUUGGAAUAAUUAAGUUCCAGACUCUUGGCAAGUUCGAAAACUGUAAUACAAUAUUGUGGUCUA